rnacentral:rRNA from 1 species
UACGGAGGAUGCAAGCGUUAUCCGGAUUCAUUGGGUUUAAAGGGUGCGUAGGCGGGCUAUUAAGUCAGUGGUGAAAUCCUGCAGCUUAACUGCAGAACUGCCGUUGAUACUGAUAGUCUUGAGUUUGGUUAAGGUAGGCGGAAUGUGUAAUGUAGCGGUGAAAUGCUUAGAUAUUACACAGAACACCAAUUGCGUAGGCAGCUUACUGAGCCGACACCGACGCUGAGGCACGAAAGCGUGGGGAUCAAACAGGAUUA